AAUGAACGUUGGCGGCGUGGAUUAGGCAUGCAAGUCGAGCGAGAACCCGCAAGGGGGGCAGCGGCAAACGGGGUAGUAAUGUGUCGGAACGUGCCCUCUGGACGGGGAUAGCGGCGGGAAACUGCCGGUAAUACCCGAUGAUCUCGAGAGAGCAAAGGUGUGAUUCCGCCGGAGGAGCGGCCGACAUGGUAUUAGCUAGUUGGCGGGGUAACGGCCCACCAAGGCUGUGAUGCCUAGGGGAUGUGAGAGCAUGAUCCCCACCAUUGGGACUGAGACACUGCCCAGACACCUACGGGUGGCUGCAGUCGAGAAUCUUCGUCAAUGGGCGAAAGCCUGAACGAGCGACGCCGCGUGCGGGAUGAAGGCCCUUGGGUUGUAAACCGCUGUCGAGGGGGAUGAAGGCCUUCCGGUACUCCGGAAGGUUUGACAGAGCCCUGGAGGAAGCACGGGCUAAGUUCGUGCCAGCCGCCGCAGUAACAC
rnacentral:rRNA from 1 species